GGAGAGAUGCCAGAGUGGUUGAACGGGACGGUCUCGAAAACCGUUUUACCUGCAAGGGUAACGAGGGUUCGAAUCCCUCUCUCUCCG
rnacentral:tRNA from 1 species